rnacentral:rRNA from 1 species
GGUAGCCGGCCUGAGAGGGCGACCGGCCACACUGGGACUGAGACACGGCCCAGACUCCUACGGGAGGCAGCAGUGGGGAAUAUUGCGCAAUGGGCGAAAGCCUGACGCAGCAACGCCGCGUGAGGGAUGACGGCCUUCGGGUUGUAAACCUCUUUCAGCAGGGACGAAGCGAAAGUGACUGUACCUGCAGAAGAAGCGCCGGCUAACUACGUGCCAGCAGCCGCGGUAAUACGUAGGGCGCAAGCGUUGUCCGGAUUUAUUGGGCGUAAAGAGUUCGUAGGCGGUCUGUCGCGUCGGAAGUGAAAACCCGGAGCUCAACUCCGGGCCUGCUUUCGAUACGGGCAGACUUGAGUGUUGCAGGGGA